UGGUAACCUCAGGAACCUGAAACCCUCCUUCAAUCUACCAGCAAGUCCUUGCAGGAUUUACCAGGAGCACGUACAGUGAUGAGAGAUCAGUCUUCAAAGCAACCAUAGACAGCUCCUGAAUCCAGUGCUCACUCGACUUGGUGGAAAAGCUCUAUUAACAGGACACAAUCAGAUGUGAAAGGCUACAGCCUCAAUAAACUAUAAUAAUUCAUAUU